GUUGCGCUACGCAGCAGAAUCAAACCAGAUAAUUCCAAAGUUGUCUCUGGCAAAAUCGCGUCAUUACAUAUUACUAAUAACAACUAUGCCGAUUUUGCGAAGCGAGUAGAGGAAUUAUCUGACGCAUUAGAGCGAUCUUUAAUUAUUGAGGGUAUGACUCAAGCAAAAGCCCAUGAGUUAGCGGUAGAGCAGACAGUAAAUGUUUGCAGACUGAACAGUCGUUCAGAACUAGUAAAAUCUAUUUUAGCAUCAACCACUUUUACGGAUUCGAAAGAUGUAGUCGCAAAAAUGAUUGUAGAACACAAUAAUGAAGUCAAAGAGCGGCAGGUGUUAUCUUUUAGGUCACGGGCAAAUAGACCAAAUAGUUUUCGAGGAGGUUUUAGAGGGCAUAGCAACUAUGGCUAUCACAACACUAGUUUCAGAUUUAAUAACGGCAAUACAAAUAGGCACAAUAAUGGCAAUAACACAAGGCACAAUAAUAAUCAAAAUAAUUACAAUAGAAGUAACAAUUUUAACAAUAGACAAAAUAAUUACAGAAAUAGCACAAGCAAUCGUUCGGCAAGCAACAGAAACAACUCUUCUCGUUCAAAUUCUAGAAACACUUCUAAUGUUCGAUUUUUAAACGCCGAUGCCCCUCAGGAGCGAACACUGGGGGAGCAGGAGCUAAGCAAUUAAACGUAGUUACCCCUGAAAAAUCAAUUUACUGCUUGAACCUUAAUUAUUCAGAUUUUAUUGAAUUAAAUUGUACCGAUUCUUACAAAUUAUGCUCGUUUCUCGUAGAUUCACAAGCAGACAUCUCUUUAAUCAAGAUUUCCAGUUUAGCAAGAAAUUCAGCAAUUAACAGUAGCAAUACCAUAAACAUCACUGGUGUAACAACUGAAACGGUUACAACAUUGGGAACUAUGACAGUUUUAAUAUACCUUCUGACGGCAUACUAGGCAAGGACUUUUUAAAGACGAACAGAUGUAUUAUUAACUACGCAAAUGACAGUAUAACUAUCGGCAUCGGGACAGAAAGCACUAAAAUAGCAAUUGUACACGGUUCAAAUACCGACACUUUAGUCAUUCCUCCAA
rnacentral:lncRNA from 1 species